GAUGAACGCUGGCGGCGUGCCUAAUACAUGCAAGUCGAGCGAAUGGAUUAAGAGCUUGCUCUUAUGAAGUUAGCGGCGGACGGGUGAGUAACACGUGGGUAACCUGCCCAUAAGACUGGGAUAACUCCGGGAAACCGGAGCUAAUACCGGAUAACAUUUUGAACCGCAUGGUUCGAAAUUGAAAGGCGGCUUCGGCUGUCACUUAUGGAUGGACCUGCGUCGCAUUAGCUAGUUGGUGAGGUAACGGCUCACCAAGGCAACGAUGCGUAGCCGACCUGAGAGGGGGAUCGGCCAAACUGGGAAUGAGACACGGCCCAGACUCCUACGGGAGGCAGCAGUAGGGAAGCUUCCGCAAUGGACGAAAGUCUGACGGAGCAACGCCGCGUGAGUGAUGAAGGCUUUCGGGUCGUAAAACACUGUUGUUAGGGAAGAACAAGUGCUAGUUGAAUAAGCUGGCACCUUGACGGUACCUAACCAGAAAGCCACGGCUAACUACGUGCCAGCCGCCGCCGUAA
rnacentral:rRNA from 1 species